rnacentral:lncRNA from 1 species
AUGGCAUAGAUGUUGUUCAGAUUUACUUUGAAAGAAUCAAGUGUGUGAACCCAAUGGUGAAUGGAAUUGUGAAGCACAGGUGAGCUCUUUGACAUCCCCAAGAACACAGCUCAUCCUAUGCUUUUGGACACUUCUUUUCUGUUAAAACAAUGGCUCUUCUCCAGGUUGUUGCACUACCACUGUAUCUGUACAGAAUUCUAUUUCGGCACCUGUGGCCUUCUUUUUGUGCUUUUUCAAUUAUGUGUCUGUAUUUCCCACCAGAUAUGAUAUUGAAUGCAAGGAACUUAUUUCCUUUAGUCUUUUUAUAUAUCUAGCAUACAAGACAUCACUUGAAAUAAGGUAGACAUCACUGAAGACUUGUUUAAAUAAUUUAAUAUUUUGUAAUAACAUUGAGUGGUAAAACAUCUGCUUCUCAUCUGCCUAGCAUAUAUAUGGCUUUUGUAUAUCAGGUGUCACAAAACUGUUUCAAGGCAGUUGUGAUGUAUUAGCAAAAAAAUUCUUACUCCUAUGUCUUAGUCAUCCCAGACAUUAUGUACCUCCUGAUGUGAGUAUACCACACCUUCUUUGAAAUGUAUUUGCCAAAAUUUUGAACCUAAAUUUAACCAUGCUUCUAGACAAUAUUCCUCAUCUAUAGAAAAUAUAGACUAUAGACUGAGAAAUAUACUAUUCUACAGCACAGAGAUGAGAUCAACAGAAUCCUGACUACAGGAAACUCUCCAGGACAAAUGACUCAGUCUCUUCAGUAAAUAUAUUACAGGGAUGAAACACAGAGAUGGAGGAUGAACCUAUCGGUUGAAAGAGUCUUAUUCAUAUUUGCAUGAAUCUUAUUUGGAUCCUUAUUUGACCAAACUGUAAAAUGAGUAUAUUUAUGAGACAAUCAGGAAAAUUUGAACAUUGACUGGAUAUAUGAUAUUAGUUGUGAUAAUGGUAUUAAGAAAAUAAGAAUUCUUAUCCACAUCCAAGUAUUUACAGUUGAAAUGAUGUCUG